CCUGCAAAGAGGAAACCUAGAUAUUUGUUUUAGGUCGAAACUCAAAAACACACCCAAUUUCAAUUUUGUUGUCUUUAUUCCUCCUCGCCGGCGAUUCGAUCUCACUCUCUCCUCGAGGCGUUUGGAUCUGUUCUUUUAUCGGUUGCGAAAUAGUUGUUGCUGAUAGAAGAGAGUUUGAUUGGAUAAUGACGACUGCGGAGGUGACUAAGCAUAAGUCCAGGAGGGAAGAUGUUGAAAAGAGGGAGGAGUCGAAGAAUAGUCAUCGAGAUAGGAAUGGUGACAAGCACAGGGAAAGGGAUAGAGAUAAGAGUCGAGACAGAAAGGAGAAGGAAAGGCGACGUGCUGGUUCGCCUGAUGAUGAAAGAGAGAAUAGUGUUGAGGAGAAGUAUAAAGUGAGGGAAAAGCACAAGGAUAGGGAGAGGGAUAAGGGUCGGGACAGUAAGGAGAAGGAGCGGCGUCGUGGUUCUCCAGAGAAGGAAAGAGAGAGGAGUGUUGAUGAUAAGUAUAAAGAAAGGGAAAAGCAUAAGGAUAGGCAUAGAGAGAAGGACAGGGAGAAUGAGAAGGAAAAGGAGAGGAUUAGGGAGGAGAAGGAGAAGGCGAAGAGAGAAAAGGAACGGGCUAGGGAGAGAGAGCGGGAAGACAGGGAGAUAGAGAGGGAGAGAGUAAUAAGGGAGAAGGAGAGAGAAAGGGAGAAGAGGGAAAGAGACAGAGAAGAGAGGGAAAGGGAACGGGAAAAAGAAAGGAGGGAAAGGGAACGGGAAAAAGAAAGGAGGGAAAAGGAGCGGGAAAAAGAAAGGAGGGAAAGGGAGAGAGAUGAGGGGGACAGGAAGAGGAAGGGGAAGCACCGAGAUGUGGAGCACAGUGAUGGUGAUGAUGGUAGAGACCGUGAAGGGAAGCGACGUAGAAGAGACGAUGAUUACAAGGACAGGGAUAAAGAACGUGAAAGAAGCAAGUCAAGUAGGCACAGAGAUGGUAGUGUAGGGAGUAGCCCUAGAAAAAGAAGCGAUGACGUUCCUAUGGAUAAAGCAGAUGAAAAAAGUCGAGAAGAUGUCAUUGAGGAAGAACAGCGGAAGUUGGACGAGGAGAUGGAGAAGAGGAGGAGGAGAGUUCAGGAAUGGCAAGAGUUGAAAAGGAAGACGGAGGAAUCUGAGAGAGAGAAGCUUGGAGUAAAUGUAGAUGUUGACAAACAGAAGUCUGGCAAGACAUGGACACUAGAAGGGGAGUCUGAUGAUGAGGAAGCUGGACUUGAUGACAAACCUGAAAAGGGCGUGGAAAUGGAUGAAGAUGUUAAGCCCAUGGAUGACACUGGAGAAGAUAUGAAAGUCGAUGCUGAAACUGAUGUUGCUGCACCUCCUAGUUCCAAUGGAAAUGAUAAUGCUGACGAGGAUGAGGAGAUUGAUCCAUUAGAUGCUUUUAUGAAUCAGAUGGUGUUGCCUGAAGUUGAAAAGCUUACUGGCGCUUCUGUUGCUGAUGAUAACUCUAGCAUGAAAAAGGAUAAGGAUUUACAUCCUAAUACGAAGCAGCCACGAAAGGGUCCGAAUAAAUCUAUGGGAAGAAUCAUUCCUGGCGAGGAUUCAGAUUCCGGUUAUAGUGAUGCUGAUGAAGAAGACAUGCCUGUGGAAGACGAUGAUGAAGAUGAUGAUGAAUUUAUUAAAAGGGUGAAGAAGACAAAGGCCGAGAAACUAUCUAUUGUUGACCAUUCGAAGAUUGAUUAUAUUCCAUUUCGGAAAAAUUUCUAUAUUGAAGUGAAAGAAAUCUCAAGAAUGACUGCUGAAGAGGUUACUGCUUACAGGACGCAGCUAGAACUGAAAAUCCAUGGAAAGGAUGUUCCAAAACCUAUUAAAACAUGGCACCAAACUGGAUUAUCAACUAAAAUAUUAGACACAAUAAAAAAGCUUAACUAUGAAAGGCCAAUGUCAAUUCAAGCUCAGGCACUUCCCAUUAUUAUGAGUGGCCGAGAUUGCAUAGGUGUUGCUAAGACAGGAUCUGGAAAGACAUUAGCAUUUGUGCUUCCAAUGCUAAGGCAUAUUAAGGAUCAACCACCAUUGAUGUCAGGAGAUGGUCCGAUUGGGCUUAUAAUGGCACCCACCAGAGAACUUGUCCAACAGAUCCAUGGUGACAUAAAGAAGUUUGCCAAAGUAGUUGGUAUCAGUUGUGUGCCUGUAUAUGGUGGUUCUGGCGUUGCACAACAGAUCAGCGAAUUGAAACGUGGGACUGAAAUCGUGGUAUGUACUCCAGGUAGGAUGAUUGAUAUACUUUGUACAAGUAGUGGAAAGAUUACAAAUCUGCGGAGGGUCACUUAUUUAGUCAUGGAUGAAGCUGACCGAAUGUUUGAUAUGGGUUUUGAACCUCAGAUUACCAGAAUUGUUCAAAAUACUAGACCAGACCGCCAGACUGUACUGUUCUCUGCUACUUUCCCUCGCCAGGUUGAGGUUCUGGCUCGCAAGGUGCUGAAUAAACCCGUAGAAAUACAGGUGGGUGGAAGAAGUGUUGUAAACAAAGACAUAACACAGUUGGUGGAGAUGAGAUCAGAAAGUGAUAGGUUUCUCAGGCUUCUUGAACUGCUUGGAGAAUGGUAUGAGAAAGGAAAGAUAUUAAUAUUUGUCCAAUCGCAAGAUAAAUGUGAUUCUCUGUUCAGGGAUUUGCUUAAGCACGGUUAUCCUUGUCUCUCACUACAUGGGGCUAAGGAUCAGACUGACCGUGAGUCCACAAUUUCUGACUUUAAGAGUAAUGUAUGCAGUUUGUUGAUUGCCACUAGUAUUGCCGCAAGAGGUCUAGAUGUAAAGGAGCUUGAGUUGGUGAUUAACUAUGAUGUUCCAAACCAUUAUGAAGACUAUGUCCAUCGUGUUGGGCGGACAGGGCGAGCUGGCCGUAAAGGUGCUGCUAUUACAUUUAUAUCCGAAGAAGAUGCAAGGUAUGCACCAGAUCUUGUGAAAGCCUUGGAACUCUCUGAACAAGUUGUACCUGAUGACCUGAAAGCUCUUGCUGAUGGUUUCAUGGCAAAGGUCAACCAGGGUACUGAACAAGCGCACGGAACUGGGUAUGGAGGAAGUGGUUUUAAGUUUAAUGAAGAAGAGGAUGAAGUUAGAAAAGCAGCAAAGAAAGCACAGGCAAAAGAAUAUGGGUUUGAGGAAGAUAAGUCAGAUUCAGACGAUGAUAAUGAUGGAGUGCGUAAAUCCUCACUUCCGACACCAGGCCCACUGCAUAAUGGGCUGCCUAUUCCUGUUGGGCCAAAUAUAGUUCUUCCUGGUGCAAUACCAGCUGGUCCCUCCACACUUCUGCCAACUGCAGCAGAUGGUGCUGCCAGGGCAGCAGCGUUGGCAGCUGCCAUUAAUUUGCAGCAUAACCUAGCUAAGAUUCAAGCUGAUGCACUACCGGAGCAUUAUGAAGCGGAGUUGGAGAUCAAUGAUUUCCCUCAAAAUGCCAGGUGGAAGGUGACACACAAGGAAACUUUGGGUCCAAUCUCUGAAUGGUAUGGGGCUGCCAUCACAACUAGGGGGCAGCAUUUUCCUCAUGGUAAAAACCCAGGGCCAGGGGAAAGAAAACUUUACUUGUUUAUCGAGGGUCCUUCUGAACAAUCUGUGAAGAAAGCUAAAGCAGAAUUGAAAAGAACACUGGAGGAUAUCACAAGCCAAGCAUCAUCCCUUCCGGGUUCUGCACAACCAGGACGAUACUCACUGGUGUGAGAAAAAGCUGCUCCGUUGUGAGGAUGUUCUCAUACCCCUUUCUACAAGGGCGGGGAAGAAAACUUUACUUAUGUAUCGAGGGUCCUUUUGAACAAUCUGUGAAGAUAAGCAUCACCCUUUCGGGUUCUGCACAACCAGAAUGAUACUCACUGGACCCCCACUCAUAAGCACAUGUUAAGAAAGUCAUGUUUAUUCUUGCUCGACAUUGGGAAACAGAAGUAAUUGAGUGUGGUGCUAAGAGGACAGACCUCAAUUUUGGGUUGUGUGUGCCUAUGCGGAAAGCCUAUGGUUGUGGUUUUGAUAUGACCAUUUAUUGUUAGUCAGAUAGUCAGGUUUUGUAGUAGCUAUUAAAUGGAUUUAUAUUGUUUUCAUGUAUAAGGUUGCCUGGUGGAAAAGAAGGAAUGAGGAUUGGUAUUAGUGGUUCUACAGAGUGAGUUGAGGGUUUUUACCUAAACCAUAGAUAAACAAAGACAAAACCUUUGAUUAGUUAAGGCCUUGGUAUUAGUGGUUCCCCAGUUUUUUUUUGGUGCAUAUAUUCUUUGAGCUGCCUCCUGAUUUUGGUUCUUGUAUUACCCAAUACAUUUUUCCUGCAAUCACUUGAGAGGAAAAAAUAUGAAUUAGCUUUUGUUGAUUUAAAGAUGAAUUUAUUACCUUC